rnacentral:rRNA from 1 species
AAAAGAAACUAACAAGGAUUCCCUCNGUAGCGGCGAGCGAAGAGGGAAGAGCCCAGCGCCGAAUCCCCGUCCGACAGGCGGGCGCGGGAAAUGUGGCGUACAGAAGAUCGCUUGCCCGGUGUCGCUCGGGGGCCUGAGUCCUUCUGAUCGAGGCUCAGCCCGUGGACGGUGUGAGGCCGGUAACGGCCCCCGUCGCGCCGGGGUUCGGUCUUCUCGGAGUCGGGUUGUUUGUGAAUGCAGCCCAAAGCGGGUGGUAAACUCCAUCUAAGGCUAAAUACCGGCACGAGACCGAUAGCAGACAAGUACCG